ensembl:snRNA U6 U6 spliceosomal RNA
GUGUCCACUCUAGCAGCAUAGACACUAAAGCUGGAACAAUACAGAGAUUAGCAUGGCCCCUGCCCGAGGACGACACAAAAAUUCGAGAAGCAUUCCAUCUUUUU